GAUGAACGCUGGCGGCGUGCCUAAUACAUGCAAGUCGAGCGAACAGAUGAGGAGCUUGCUCCUCUGACGUUAGCGGCGGACGGGUGAGUAACACGUUGAUAACCUACCUAUAAGACUGGGAUAACUUCGGGAAACCGGAGCUAAUACCGGAUAAUAUAUUGAACCGCAUGGUUCAAUAGUGAAAGACGGUUUUGCUGUCACUUAUAGAUGGAUCCUCGCCGCAUUAGCUAGUUGGUAAGGUAACGGCUUACCAAGGCAACGAUGCGUAGCCGACCUGAGAGGGUGAUCGGCCACACUGGAACUGAGACACGGUCCAGACUCCUACGGGAGGCAGCAGUAGGGAAUCUUCCGCAAUGGGCGAAAGCCUGACGGAGCAACGCCGCGUGAGUGAUGAAGGUCUUCGGAUCGUAAAACUCUGUUAUUAUGGAAGAACAAAUGUGUAAGUAACUAUGCACGUCUUGACGGUACCUAAUCAGAAAGCCACGGCUAACUACGUG
rnacentral:rRNA from 1 species